AUACGUAGGGGGCGAGCGUUGUCCGGAAUUACUGGGCGUAAAGGGUGCGUAGGCGGUCUGUUAAGUCAGAUGUGAAAUCCCAUGGCUCAACUGUGGUGUUGCAUUUGAAACUGGCAGGCUAGAGUGCAGGAGAGGGAAGUGGAAUUCCUAGUGUAGCGGUGAAAUGCGUAGAGAUUAGGAGGAACACCAGUGGCGAAGGCGGCUUCCUGGACUGUAACUGACGCUGAGGCACGAAAGCGUGGGGAGCGAACAGGAUUAGAUACCCUGGUAGUCCACGCCAUAAACGAUGGAUACUAGGUGUAGGGGGUAUUAAUACCUUCUGUGCCGGAGUUAACGCAAUAAGUAUCCCGCCUGGGGAGUACGGCCGCAAGGUUGAA
rnacentral:rRNA from 1 species